rnacentral:rRNA from 1 species
GGCUCAAUAGCACGUCGUUAAUCUGCCCUAGAGUUGGGGAUAACCUCGGAAAACUGAGGCUAAUACCCAAUAGAAUAAUCUGCCUGGAAUGGCUUUUAUUUUAAACUUGUGCUCUAGGAUGAGACGGCGGCGGAUUAGGCUGUUGGUGAGGUAACUGCUCACCAAACCAAAGAUCCGUACGGGCCCUGAAAGGGGUAGCCCUGAGAAGGACACUGAGAUACUGGUCCUAGCCCUACGGGGUGCAGCAGGCGCGAAAACUCUACAAUGCACGCAAGUGUGAUAGGAGGAUCCCAAGUGCUUAUGCAAUUCAUAGGCUUUUUUCAAGACUAAAACUCUUGGAGAAUAAGUGGUGGGCAAGACUGGUGCCAGCCGCCGCGGUAACCCCAGCGCCACAAGUGGCAAUCAGUUUUAUUGGGCCUAAAGCGUCCGUAGCCGGUUUAAUAAAUCUUUUGUGAAAUCGUUGGGCUUAACUCAACGGAUUGCAGAAGACACUGUUAGACUCGGGACCGGGAGGAGUCAGAGGUAUUUUGGGGGGAGCGGUAAAAUGCUUUAAUCCCCAGAGGACCACCAAUGGCGCAGGCAUCUGACUAGAACGGAUCCGACGGUGAGGGGCGAAAGCUAGGGGAGCGAACCGGAUUAGAUACCCGAGUAGUCCUAGCCGUAAACGCUGCGAGCAAGGUGUUGCAUAUUCUUCGGGAAUGUGCAGUGUCGAAAUGAAGAUGAUAAGCUCGCCGCCUGGGAAGUACGGUCGCAAGGCUGAAACUUAAAGGAAUUGGCGGGGGAGCACCACAAGGGGUGCGGCGUGCGGUUUAAUCUAACUCAACGCAGAGAACCUCACUAGGGGCGACGGCAGAAUGAAGGACAAGCUGAAGACUUUUCCUGACGAGCCGAGAGGUAGUGCAUGGCCGUCGCAAGCUCGUGCUGUAAAGUGUCCUCUUAAGUGAGGCAACGGGCGAGACCUGUACCUGCAAUUGCUAACGACCUCUGGGAUCGAGCACAUUGUAGGGACUGCCCUCGUAAGAGGGAGGAAGGUGCAGACCACGGUAGGUCUGUAUGCUCCGAAUCUCCUAGGCUACACGCGCGCAACAAUGGUAGGGACAAUGGGAUGCAACUCCGAAAGGAGAAGCCAAACCUCUAAACCCUAUCUUAGUUCAGAUUGAGGGUUGAAACUCACCCUCAUGAAGACGGAAUCCCUAGUAAUCAGAAGUCAUUAUCUUCUGGUGAAUAUGUCCCUGCUCCUUGCACACACCGCCCGUCAAACCAACCGAGCAGGUUUUAGGUAAAAUGCAGCCUAUUAGUUGCAUUGAAUCUAAGAUCAGUGAGGUGGGUUAAGUCGUCACAAGGUA